ensembl:lncRNA
CCGUGCACAUGCAAAAAUACGUGGAACAAAAGCAGAUUUUACACCGCACGGAUCACCCUCAAGAUGCCAAGACCUUGCAAGGAGAAAGCAGAACUGCCUGCUGCCAGAAAUUUCUGGGCGCUACCAAGCUGGAGCACAACUUGAGCUGUCAUUUUCAGCUGCAGUAUGGAGCCAAAAGGAUGGAGUUGGCUUCUGUGGGAUCAGGACAACGGCUGCAAUGUGAGGCUGGCACAGACAGGCACCCCACAGGGAUGGCUCCCACGGCGGGCACAGCCCUGCAGCUGCACCUGGGCAGGGGGCACAAACCUGACCCGUCCGUGACAUGAGGAAAGAGCCCACAGCUCUGCAAUCCGCUGGCAUUUGAAACAUCAUUUAUAAUGUCUCCGCUUGGAAUUUGUGUGCCUGAACAAGCCUCAAGCUCGCUUUCAGCAUCCAGCACAUUUCUUUCAGUUCCAUUCCUUUGCAUAACUAUACAAAGAAAGCCAAAAUGCCUUACAG